rnacentral:rRNA from 1 species
CCCUUAGAUGUUCUGGGCUGCACGCGCGCUACACUGAUGCGCUCAACGAGUUUACGACCUUGACCGAGAGGUCUGGGUAAUCUUUUAAAAACGUGUCGUGCUGGGGAUAGAUUAUUGCAAUUAUUAAUCUUCAACGAGGAAUUCCUAGUAAACGCAAGUCAUCAACUUGCAUUGAUUACGUCCCUGCCCUUUGUACACACCGCCCGUCGCUACUACCGAUUGAAUGAUUUAGUGAGUACCAGGGACCGAGCGCUUUGGUUGGGUUUCCUUCCCUAGCGCUUGGGAACUGUCGCAAACUUGACCAUUUAGAGGAAGUAAAAGUCGUAACA